GGGCAUUAGGAUGGAGAUGUGUGCCCUAAAGAAGUCGCUACUUUUCUUCAUGCAAGACCUUGCGCACCUCUUUAAUUUUUGUCACGCUAAAUCCUUUCUUACACACACAACCUCCUUUUUAAUGCCCAAGAGAUCUAAUCUCUUUUAAUCUAGGGUGUUGAAAAUCAAAUCAAAAGGUAGAAAGGGUUUUGAGAUAAGGUUGUGAUGUAAGAAAGAAAUCACCAAACAUAAUUAGCGCACGUCUACCUUCUCCAAUUUUCUUAUUGCACAAAAAAAAAAUCUUCCAUACCCCA
rnacentral:lncRNA from 1 species